GGCGGAAGUAGCCAAGU
rnacentral:tRNA from 1 species